rnacentral:rRNA from 1 species
UACAGGGGUGGCAAGCGUUGUUCGGAAUUACUGGGCGUAAAGGGCGCGUAGGCGGUCUCUUGAGUCUUGUGUGAAAUCCCUCGGCUCAACUGAGGAACUGCACGGGAUACUGGAAGACUUGAGUUCGGGAGAGGGAAGCGGAAUUCCGGGUGUAGCGGUGAAAUGCGUAGAUAUCCGGAGGAACACCGGUGGCGAAGGCGGGUCUCUGGGCCGAUACUGACGCUGAGGAGCGAAAGCGUGGGGAGCAAACAGG